UGAACGCUGGCGGCGUGCUUAACACAUGCAAGUCGAACGAACCUUCGGGUUAGUGGCGGACGGGUGAGUAACGCGUGAGAAUCUGCCCUCAGGAGGGGGAUAACGUAUUAAAACGGCUGCUAAUACCCCAUAUGCCGCGAGGUGAAAUGAAUUUCGCCUGAGGAUGAGCUCGCGUCUGAUUAGCUAGUUGGUGUAGGUAAUGGCUCACCAAGGCAUCGAUCAGUAGCUGGUCUGAGAGGAUGAUCAGCCACACUGGGACUGAGACACGGCCC
rnacentral:rRNA from 1 species